CAAAGCAUAGCUUAACUAAAGCAUCCGGCCUACACCCGAAAGAUUUCAAGAAUAUUGACUGCUUUGA
rnacentral:tRNA from 3 species